AGCAAUAUUUGUAAGAAAACCAUGUGAGGGUUGAUCAGUUUGUGGGUAUCUGUGUAAUGAUCAUGGAGUUGUGCAUCACACUAAUAACCAUGGUACUUUUGCUGAUAAUCAUUCAAGAGAUGAUGGCAUUUCUCACAGUGGUGUAGAUGGUGGAGUACUGCAAGAAUUCAGGUAGAUCGAUGGGUCCUGCAUUGAUGAAACUGAACAAAGUUAGUUGCAUGGUCCUAAUAGGGUAAGUGUGCCCAUAAUCACCUUUGUCAUAAUCUGAUUUUCAGGUUCCUAUCAAGAAAUCAUGAUAAACCUCAUAAUGACCAUUAACAGAACUAUUCUUGCAUCCAGGUUCAUGUAAGACGUCAUGGGGAGCAUAUCAGUCACGGCAAAUGAGGCACAUAGCAGGUAUUGAGGUAAGUGAUGAUACGAGUCUGAACCACAGCACAGACCAUCUGAUCUUACAUGUAGGUAAGUGAUUGUGUCCCUAAUACUUCUUGUUACUAUGAUUUUGUUGCAGGUAUUCAGGUAAGAAAUGAUAGUCCUUACCAAAUCUAGUGAUCAUGCCUUUACACGUUUUACAUUUUAUUUUUUUUAAUUUAUUUAUUUGAGAGAGAGAUCGAGAACACGUGAGCACAUCGGUGAGAGGAGCAGAGGAAGAGUCUCAAGCAGGGGCUUGAUCCCACGGUCCUGAGAUCCUGCGAUCACGACUCUAGCUGAAACCAAGAGUUGGACGCUUAACCAACUGUACCACCCAGGAGUCCAGUUCAGACACCGUGGCUUUCUUCCAACAAAGGUGUUCACCUGAAUUAAUGCAAGUAUCAGGAUAGAGUUGAUGUGUUCCAUAAUAACAGAAGUAAAAAGGUGUUCUGGUGGAGUAAGUCAUGUCCUUCAACAUACUUAUCCUAUGUAUUUCUUCAGUUUCCUGUCAAGAAAACACGGUCAACCUACUAGUGCUUGUCAAUGGGAACUUGCUCUUAACCAGGCGCAUGACAUCUUGUCACAUUGUAAACCGUCUAAUCUUCAAUAUGAAGGUAUCCCUUCAGGAGAAGUCGAUGUGUCUUCCCAGGGUUUGACCUUGGAGUCCUGCAAUUAA
rnacentral:lncRNA from 1 species